GACGACAAGACCCUAAAAGCUUUAAUUUUAUCUUAUUAAAUUUUUUAAUUUUAAACCUUUAUAAUUUAUAAAUAUUAACUGGGGAAGUUUAAAUAAUUAAUUUAUUUUUAUGUAAACUGAAAGACUUCUAGAUCCUUGAUAUUAGGAUAUUUUGAAAUAGUUACUUUAGGGAUAACAGCGUAAUAAUUUUUAAGAGCCCUUAUCAACAAAAUUGUCUGCGACCUCGAUGUUGAAUUGGAAAAUCUACUUAUAGAAAAAGAUAACUAAGAAGAUUGUUCAAUCUUUAAAUUUCCACAUGAUCUGAGU
rnacentral:rRNA from 1 species